rnacentral:lncRNA from 10 species
GCACUGGGGGAAAGGGAGAGUAUCAUGGUUACAGCUGGAUCACCUAAGGCAGAGAGGGAAGGAACCAACAGGUAUAUGAAGAAGACUGUAUUUCCUCCUCAGGAAGAAAAAAUCACCUAUAACACUCUCAAAACCAUUUCUAUCUUACACCUUCAGAGAAGCCAGCCUUCAUUAAAGACUGAAUGAAGUAAAAUAAAGACUUAACACAGACUGGCAAAUUGGAUAAAGAGUCAAGACCAAUCAGUGUGUUUUAUUCAGGAGACCCAUCUCACGUGCAGAGACACACAUAGGCUCAAAAUAAAGGGAUGGAGGAAGAUCUACCAAGCAAAUGGAAAACAAAAAAAGGCAGAGGUUGCGAUCCUAGUCUCUGAUAAAACAGACUUUAAACCAACAAAGAUCAAAAGAGACAAAGAAGGCCAUUACAUAAUGGUAAAGGGAUCAAUUCAACAAGAAGAGCUAACUAUCCUAAGUAUAUAUGCACCCAUUACAGGAGCACCCAGAUUUAUAAAGCAAGUCCUUAGAGACCAACAAAGAGACUUAGACUCCCACACAAUAAUAAUGGGAGA